rnacentral:rRNA from 1 species
CCUAUCAGGUAGUAGUGGGUGUAGCGUACCUACUAGCCUACGACGGGUACGGGUUGUGAGAGCAAGAGCCCGGAGAUGGAUUCUGAGACACGAAUCCAGGCCCUACGGGGUGCAGCAGGCGCGAAAACUUUACAAUGCUGGAAACAGCGAUAAGGGGACCUCGAGUGCCAGGUUACAAAUCUGGCUGUCGUGAUGCCUAAAAAGCAUUGCAUAGCAAGGGCCGGGCAAGACCGGUGCCAGCCGCCGCGGUAACACCGGCGGCUCGAGUGGUAACCGUUAUUAUUGGGUCUAAAGGGUCUGUAGCCGGCCGGAUAAGUCUCUUGGGAAAUCUGGCAGCUUAACUGUCAGGCUUUCAGGAGAUACUGUCUGGCUCGAGGCCGGGAGAGGUGAGAGGUACUUCAGGGGUAGGGGUGAAAUCUUGUAAUCCUUGAAGGACCACCAGUGGCGAAGGCGUCUCACCAGAACGGACCUGACGGCAAGGGACGAAAGCUAGGGGCACGAACCGGAUUAGAUACCCGGGUAGUCCUAGCCGUAAACGAUACUCGCUAGGUGUCGGCAACGGUGCGACCGUUGUCGGUGCCGUAGGGAAGCCGUGAAGCGAGCCACCUGGGAAGUACGGCCGCAAGGCUGAAACUUAAAGGAAUUGGCGGGGGAGCAC